GUAACUUUCUCAAAGGCGCGGAGCCUGUCUGGCAUGGAGGGCUAUGCUCAGGCGGCCGCCAGGGCCAGGCUGAAGGACCAAGAGUGAUAAACGUGGCCAAAAGGAGCCUUCUGAUCACUGAUCACGAGUUGUGAGCAGCCAGAGGAACACAGCACGCACGGCUUCAGCAGUUGCACCAUUUUCAACCAGCACUUCCGGGCCCCUCGGGAGCCACGUGCUAGGUGUGGACCCCAGAGCUCACCGUGGCCAAAGGCUCCUCCUGCCUGGGUCGUCUCUGCGGCCCCCCGCAGCUCCCCCCAGGUGCACAUAAGCUCAGCUCGGGGAUGACUUGGUCUGUCACUCGGAAACAACCACACAAGUUGGGCAGAUACAAAUCUAAGGUCCGGUGUAUCCUUCUGAA